CUGGGCCUAUCCGGGAGUACGUAAAGCAAUUCUCCGCCCUGAUGCUUGACAUUAGGGAUAUGGCGGAGAAGGACAAGCUCUUCAGCUUCCUGGAUGGGUUGAAACCAUGGGCCCAAACUGAGCUGCACAGAAGAGGAGUACAAGACCUUGCUUCCGCCAUUGCAACGGCGGAGCGCCUGAAUGACUACGACACCCGCGACAACCGUGAUAGCCAAUCCAAUGCCAAG
rnacentral:misc_RNA from 1 species